rnacentral:rRNA from 1 species
UACGGAGGAUGCAAGCGUUAUCCGGAUUUAUUGGGUUUAAAGGGUACGUAGGCGGAGAACUAAGUCAGUAGUGAAAUCCCGCAGCUUAACUGUGGAACUGUUAUUGAUACUGGUUUUCUUGAAUGUAGUUGAAGUAGGCGGAAUGUGUAAUGUAGCGGUGAAAUGCUUAGAUAUUACACAGAACACCGAUUGCGAAGGCAGCUUACUAAGCUAUGAUUGACGCUGAGGUACGAAAGCGUGGGGAGCGAACAGG